UGUCAUACGCACAUACAUACGUACAUAAUGUAUGUAUAGUAGGAUAUAGAUAAGGCUAUAGUUCUGUUUUCAGUGCGCACGCGUUCAGAAGUUCUGACUAACACACAGACUUCUGACAAAUAUGCGGCUUGUUUUCCCUCCUGCGAAUUGUUCCCUCCUUCGAGACGGAAGUAGAAAAGGAACGACGUCACCGGAUUUGUUCACUUCUUCCUGAAUUCUGCUUCCAUGUAUAUCAAAGAUACACAGAAUGCCCAAAUUAAGUAAAAUUCCACUUGUGAUCAGCAUUGCACUAGCAAAAUAAAUUGUUCUGUUGUAGCCAGCAAUAAUUGUUUAUUAAUAACUUUGAUAAAAAGAACUUCUUUGUCAUAAGGUUCAUACUGACAUUAAGUCUUAAAUAAGAUGUUCACCAAACCAAUGUUUUGCCGCCAUAUUUAUCCAUAUGAUUUACGACAUAUAUAUGUAUCUAUACAUACAUACGUAUAUGGCUUUAUUACCGGAAGGAAUUUCUUAUUUGACUUUUUGCUUUUUUAAAUCUAAUGUGUUUACAAUAAGUACAAUUAUAUAAUUUAGUAUCAAGUACUAUUCAUACUAUACUAAGCAGUGAAGGACAUAGUAAUGAGUAUAUAAUGAGAUCAAUUAGUCAGAAAUAGUCAGAAUUAUGAGUUUCUAGGUAUAAAAUUCUGCAGAUUAUAAUGCCUCUGACGAGAAACAGAUUUCUAACACUUUAAUUUGUAACAACAUUCUCUCUAUAUAAAGUUUGUUAAAGUCGACGUUAUAAUAAAAAAUAUACAAAUAAAUAAAACAAUAUUCAUA